rnacentral:rRNA from 1 species
UACGUAGGGGGCAAGCGUUGUCCGGAUUUAUUGGGCGUAAAGCGCGUGUAGGCGGCCUUGCAAGUCGGGUGUGAAAUCCCUCAGCUUAACUGAGGAAGUGCGCCCGAAACUGCAGAGCUUGAGUGCCGGAGAGGAUGGCGGAAUUCCCCAAGUAGAGGUGAAAUUCGUAGAUAUGGGGAGGAACACCGGUGGCGAAGGCGGCCAUCUGGCCGGUAACUGACGCUGAGACGCGAAAGCGUGGGGAGCGAACAGG